rnacentral:rRNA from 1 species
UGCCAGUCGACGCCCCCGGACUAUGGCGGGGGAGUGGCAUACUGCUCAGUAACACGUAGCUAACCUACCCUCGGGACGGGUAUAACCCCGGGAAACUGAGGCUAAUACCCGAUAGGCGUAGAUACCUGGAAUGGUUCCACGCCCAAAUGUUAGCGCGCCCAUGUUGCGCGCACACGCCCGAGGAUGGGGCUGCGGCCGAUCAGGCUGUUGGUGAGGUAAAGGCUCACCAAACCUUUGACCGGUACGGGCCGUGAGAGCGGUAGCCCGGAGAUGGGCACUGAGACAAGGGCCCAGGCCCUACGGGGCGCAGCAGGCGCGAAACCUCCACAAUGCACGCAAGUGCGAUGGGGCUACCUCGAGUGCCGCCUGAAGAAGGCGGCUUUUCCAUUGUAUAACUAGCUGUGGGAAUAAGAGGGGGGCAAGACUGGUGUCAGCCGCCGCGGUAACACCAGCCCCUCGAGUGAUGGGGAUGAUUAUUUGGCCUAAAGCGUCCGUAGCCGGCUAGGUAAAUCUCUCGUUAAAUCCAGCGUCUCAAGCGUUGGGCUGCGAGUGACACUGCCAAGCUAGAGGGUGGGCGAGGUCAGCGGUAUUUCUGGGGUAGGGGCGAAAUCCAUUGAUCCCAGGAGGACCACCAGUGGCGAAGGCUGCUGACCAGAACACGCCUGACGGUCAGGGACGAAAGCUGGGGUAGCGAAUCGGAUUAGAUACCCGAGUAGUCCCAGCCGUAAACGAUGCAGGCUAGGU